rnacentral:rRNA from 1 species
AUGAACGCUAGCGGCAGGCUUAAUACAUGCAAAGUCGUGGGGCAGCAUGAUUGUAGCAAACACAGUUGAUGGGCGACCGGCAAACGGGUGCGGAACACGUACACAACCUUCCUUCGAGUGGGGAAUAGCCCGGGGAAACCCGGAUUAAUACCCCGUAACAUAAUGAAGUGGCAUCACUUUAUUAUUAUAGCUCCGGGCGCUUGAAAGAUGGGUUGUGCGACUGAUUAGGCAGUUGGCGGGGGGUAACGGCCCACCAAACCUACGAUCAGUAACUGGUGUGAGAGCACGGACCAGUCACACGGGCACUGAGACACGGGGCCCGACUCCUACGGGAGGCAGCAGUAAGGAAUAUUGGCCAAUGGACGCAAGUCUGAACCAGCCCAUGCCCGCGUGGAGGAUGAAGGUCCUCUGGAUUGUAAACUUCUUUUUAUCUGGGAAAGAAACCCAUGAAUUCUUUUGUGGUUGACGGUACCAGAUGAAUAAGCACCGGCUAACCUCCGUGCCAGGCAGCCGCGGUAAUACGGAGGGGUGCAAAGCGUUAUCCGGAUUCAACUGGGUUUUAAAGGGUGCGUAGGUGGGCUGGUAAGUCAGUGGUUGAAAUCUCCAGGCUUAACUUUGGAAAACUGCCAUUGAUACUAUCAGUCUUGAAAUACCGUGGAGGUCAGCGGAAUAUGUCAUGUUAGCGGUGAAAUGCUUAGAUAUGACAUAGAACACCAAUUGCGAAGGCAGCUUGGCUACACGAAUAUUGACACUGAUGCACGAAAAGCGUGGGGAUCAAACAGGAUUAGAUACCCUGGUAGUCCACGCCCUAAAACGAUGGAUACCUCGACAUAACGCGAUAUAACUGUGUGUGUCUGAGCGAAAAGCAUAUUAAGUAUCCCACCUGGGAAGUACGAUCGCAAAGAUUGAAAACUCAAAGGAAUUGGCGGGGGUCCGCACAAGCGGUGGAGCAUGUGGUUUAAUAUUCGAUGAUACGCGAGGGAACCUUACCUGGGCUAGAAUGUCACACGACAAGAGGGUGGAAAGCUCUCCUUAAUAGCAAUAUACGUGUGAUAAGGUGCUGCAUGGCUGUCGUCAGCUCGUGCCCGUGAGGUGUUGGGUUAAGUCCCCGCAACGAGGCGCAACCCCCCAUCACCAGGUUGCCAUCAGGUAACGCUGGGAAACUCUAGUGAAACUGCCGUCGUAAGACGUGAGGGAAGGAGGGGAUGAUGUCAAGUCAUCAUGGCCUUUAUGCCCAGGGCUACACACGUGCUACAAUGGGACGUACAAAGAGCAGCAACACAGCGAUUGUUGAAGCCAAUCUCAAAAAAAACGUCUCUCUCAGUUUCAGAUUGGAGUCUUGCAAACUCGACUCCAUGAAGCUGGAAUCGCUAGUAAUCGUAUAUCAGCAAUGAUACGGUGAAUACGUUCCCGGACCUUGCACACACCGCCCGUCAAGCCAUGGAAGCUGGGUUGUACCUAAAGUCGGUAACCGCAAGGAGCCGCCUAGGGUAUAAAAACUAGUGACUGGGGGC